UAGAUGGAUGCUCGCUGGUUAGGGCACUUAGCUGUUAACUAAGAUUUUGUGGGAUCGAGGCCCUCUCAUCUAU
rnacentral:tRNA from 1 species